rnacentral:circRNA from 1 species
UGAACACUUGUCCUGCUCCUUCACCUUUUUCUUGCAUGGAGACAGCAAUGUUUGUACCAGUGUGGAAAUUAACCAACAUCAACCUGUAUACCUUCUCAGUGAAGAGCAUAUCACCCUUGCUCAACAGUCUAAUAGCCCAUUUCAAGUUAUCUUAUGCCCAUUUGGACUAAAUGGCACUCUCACAGGACAGGCAUUCAAGAUGUCUGAUUCAGCUACAAAAAAAUUAAUUGGUGAAUGGAAACAGUUCUAUCCUAUCUCAUGUUGCUUGAAGGAGAUGUCUGAAGAAAAACAGGAAGAUAUGGAUUGGGAAGAUGAUUCUUUAGCUGCAGUAGAAGUUCUUGUUG